AGGGCAGCGGUGCUACGGUAGAAGAUCAACAAAAUUCCUUCCGAUUCAUGCGAAUUCUUCUUCUGUGGAAGCGGCACUGAUGGUCGUGCAGCGGUUGUAUUGUUGAAUACACGUGCGCCUUCUUAUACGAAAGGUGUAUUACGUGGGUGAUUGCUGAUAGCGAUGUCCUCAGUUGCACUUCCUUUGCCUUAGUUGCGAUGCGCCAUCGCUGAGGAGCCUCAUCAGUGUUGCUGUUUCCUCGACUGGAGCUGCACUAGCCACUUCGACGAGCAUCUCUGUUCAUUUUUUUGUUUUUUGUUCCUUUAGUUUUUUUGAGCUCCGCAGAUUGCGGGGUGUACUGCGAUGUUGGAAUGUGUCUAGAAGGCUCUGACUGCCAGGGAGUGUCUCUACUAUUUUUAGUACAUGUAAGUAUAGCUGCAUUGUUUGUCAUUUUCUCCCGUCGAGGUGUUGCAAUCAGAAUUUUUUUUGAUCAGUGGACGGCGUCAAAGUUGGUGUUGUUCGGCAAGAGAGCAUUGGCGUUAGGGUGCGGCGGACUUCGGUUCCGAGCAAGGGAUUAGUUUCCUUGCGUUUCAUCAACGUAAGUGUGCUGUAUACAACGGAUUAUGGCUUUUCUUGGUCCUUUUGUUCCUAUGGAUCGAAGCUUCCUCGCGCUAGUGCAGAAUAGUCAAACCUGUUGAUGCGGUUCUCUUGUUACUAAGUUACUGAAUCCUUAAUUUUGUUCUGGCACGGUGUGCGGAGAACAAUUAGGUGGUGAAUCCGUUGAAUUCUUAGUUUGUUUUUUGUGCUGAUCUUGGUGAGGUUGGCAUUCGGGUUCUGUAGACGGUGCUCGUGAGCACCUUGGUAGGCAUACGCACUGGUCCCUUCACCUUAAGCCUCCUGUCCUCAGCACCUUUGAUUAAGUCGGCGCACACCUUCUAGAGGUUUUUUUCACGUUUUGGAGGGAAGAGUGAUCCGAAUACAGUGGACGGUCUCAAUGGCCUAUUCCACCCUAACCUUUCGAGGCUCAUUGGCAUCGCCAUUCUGAGAGGUUGAUCGCAAAACUACCGAGACAACCACCAACAAAAAACCGGCCACUUACUGAGGGGUUACAAGACGAAUGAAUAUUGCGAGGAACUCUGGAUUGUGCUGAGCUCAUGGAUUACAGAGGUGCAAAAUCGAGUCACCUCGGCAGUGGAACUGGACCCAUGUUCAAAUCGCAACAAACUGCAGAACCUCUUGACUAGGAAUUCAAAUCGAAGAGGGAACUUGAAGAAUUUUUACAAAAUAUCAUAUUGAUACUUCUUUUUGAAUAUAUUAUAAGUAUAUAUGACUUAAAAUUAUA